CCUCCUAUAAAUACUGGUGGGCGUCCGACCCUCAUCCUGCUCGCUGCUGCCUGCCCUCUUUUUUCUCUGAUCAGUGCUAGCGUGGCGAUGGUUCCUCCUGGUGCUUCUGCGUCUGGCCGCCGCCGUCGGGGCCACCCCCUGGGAUUCGGGCUGCUGUUAUUGCCCGUGUGCGCCGCGCUGGCGGCCGUCGGUAGCAACACGGGUCCCGUGCCGUGGCUCUCGGCCCCGGACUUCGCCCUUUCUUGCUCCCCGCGACCACAGGCAUGUCCUCCGGCUUCGGUGGGGAGUGGAUCCAGAGCGCGGGCCGCUGUGGUGACCAGCUGUGUGGAAUCUAGGCCUCAGCCAGGGAUAGGAGACACGUGCGUAUGCAACCCAACUCGCAAGUCUGGCGACCUCAGCCGUUGAGGUGACGACGACACAUCAGUUUGUGGCGAGGCGCGCGAGCGUACCCUGGGGCAACUUCUUGAGGAAGGGAAGGUGGGGCGUUUCCAGCUCGCGCCCCGUCAGGCCGUCCGCGCGCCGCAAUCCCUGUCGGUCAUCGUGGUAGAUGCAUGCCUCGAGCUGUCCAGAGCCACCCGUUCCUCGACCUUGCAUCCGGCUUUCCGAGGAACCUCGCGUCAGCCAAGGUCACCGGAGCCCUGCUCUGCUGCAAGCCACUGGCGUACCGAGGGUACAGGGCGGUGAUCGCAACAUUAUACGAGGGCCCUGCGAGCGACGGACGCGGACUGCCAGGCAUGGAGCAACUAUCAGACCUUGGUGGCGUGCUUCCGGUGCAAUAUGAGUGCAAGGUCGAUGUGCAGGCGACCGCCUCGGCUGCUGCACCCUUCGUGUCAACGGCCGGCGGCGCCGCAGCUGCGACGGCCGUUACUACUUAUUGCUAUUUUUGUUCAUGGGACCGGGAUGGUUGAUUUCAUGUUUCUGAUUCAGAGAAUCAGAGUAAAUUUUUGUGCUUAAUGCGAUGUACAGAUGUAGGGCAACUACGCAUCUUCUCUUUAUCAUGUCCUGUUUUAAUUCUAUCUGCCUCACUAGGAUUGCAAACAUCUUUGACAGAUUCCUCAAAGGCCCCAUCACUUGCUUUGAUGAGAUGGACGUCCAGUAGAAAAUCAUCAAUGAGGUGACAAAGAUGAAGAAUGGGAGCAAUAGGAUUACGAUCACCAUGAGGUAGUACGUGAGUGAGGACCUGAAUACUCUGACUCUGCGAGAUGUGAGCAAUCUUGAGUAGCAGAUUGAGUUCUCUCUGUACAAGGUUCGCCCAAGGAAGUUAACAACCCAACUACUAGAUGCAAUAGUUUCGUGUGCACAUUGUAAUACCACCUGGAACUGUUAUAUUUUUUUUAGCAGAAUGUGGACCUUAUUAAGACCUAUAUAUCAAAGAUUCAGCAGUUGGAAGCUGAACUAACACGGCAGAUAUUCUCCGCUGCUUGCAGAAAUUGUUUGCAUGAUAAACUUGCACUGGAUAAGGGCAUGCUUAUAGACGAUCUAGAUUUUGGUUGUGAAGUAGGAAUAUUCAAGUGUCAAAUGAAGAAUAGAAGGAAAGAGAAGUUAGUGAACACUCCUCCAUACAGGAAAAACUGGAUAUGGAGCUGUAAGAUCAAAAAAGGACAUCAGCAAGAGGAGAUACAAUACUAUUUUACUUCCUUAUAAUUAUAAAUGUUCAUAUACGAAUUUACAACUUAUCUGGCUCAACUUCGACUCUUUGUUCACAUGUACUGAUAAUCUUCAUUCCACCAUCCAUUAUAAACUCAUUUUCAAAGAUAACCACACUUAACCUACGAUUAUAAUUAACAGUUAUAACUGUGCUCUCUGGUAUUGUGUUCUUUGUUCCAAAUGGAAGUGUAAUUCUACCUUUUUUUAAUCUAAAUUUCUGAAGGUUGAUAUGACACAAUUUAUGAAGAGUGACACCACUGUUCUGAAGUAACAUCAUGAGACGAAGUUACAUGAGAUGGAAUAAGAAAGGACAGCUCUUCAGGUUUUAUUUGCUGUAAUUUGCUGACUCCUUAAAGCACAAACAGUAGAAAUCUUAUUUAUAUUUACAAAAAGAAAUCGAGGAUCUCGAUCAUGCAUCACCGAAUAUACCUUCCUCAACUGACGAGGGCACACAGAAAAAACAGAAAAAGAAUGAAAAUUAUCUCCAGAAGAUGAUCAUGAUUGAAUCUCAGGUUUUGAAAUUCUCUAUUUCCCGUUAGGUUUCUGUUUUGUUGUUUUUUGGAGUUCUUUUACAGUCUUAAACUGGUUAUUGAGUGCAUGACACGUGUAUUAGUUGAGGGCCUUCCCACCAACUUUUACCCAUGGAUUAAUUAAGUAAAUUCUUCACUUCCUUUCUGCAACUUCGGUUAAUUUUCAAGCUCAUAUUUAUAUAGUCCAUGUAUAAGAUCAACAGGUUGUUAUGACCGGUUUAACGUAUAACCGGCGGAGGCCCACGGGGCAGUAGUUAGGGGCUUGACCCACA